AGCCAUGCAUGUCUAGUUAUAAGCUGUAUACGGUGAGACUGCGAAUGGCUCAUUAAAACAGUUAUAGUUUAUUUGCUGGACGUGUAUAUGGAUAACCGUAGCAAUUCUNNAGCUAAUACAUGCUGGUUGCGCUGCUCUGCNGCGUAAUANUUAUUAUAUAAAAUGCCAUUGGCGCGAGCCAUGGAGGAAUCAUNGUAACUUGACUCACUUUUCGAAUUGAAGCAUUCAAGUUUCUGCCCUAUCAGCUUUCNAUGGUAGUGNAUUGGACUACCAUGGCGAUGACGGGUGACGGAGAAUUACGGUUCUAUUCCGGAGAGGGAGCCUGAGAAAUGGCUACCACAUCUAAGGAAGGCAACAGGCGCCCACAUUACCCAAUCCUGACUCAGGGAGGUAGUGACAAGAAAUNACAACUCGGGGCUAUGUCUCGAGAUUGGAAUGAGAACAANGCAAAAGCCUUACCGAGGACCCACUGGAGGGCAAGUCUGGU
rnacentral:rRNA from 1 species